GGGUCAGUAGGUUGGUCGUGCCACCGGUACGUACUGGUCUCACUGAUUCCUCCUUCCUGAAGAACCGUAAUGCCAUUAAUUUGGUGUUGCGGGGGAAACAGGACUGUUACUUUGAAAAAAUUAGAGUGUUUAAAGCAAGCUAACGCUUGAAUACAUUAGCAUGGAAUAAUGAAAUAGGACGAUCGAUCCUAUUUUGUUGGUUUCUAGGAUUGACGUA
rnacentral:rRNA from 1 species